rnacentral:tRNA from 1 species
UGGAGAUGUGGCUCAGUGGUUAGAGUGUUUGCUUAGCAUGCGUGAUGACCUGGGGUCAAUUCCCCAGCACUGCAG